AAUUAGAGGCUGGAAUGAAUGAAUAUACGAGAGUCUAGCUGUUUCAUUUUUACUUCUAAAAAUUAUCCUUUAAGUGAAGAGACUUAAAUAACAUAAAAAGACAAAAAGACCCUAUUGAGCUUUAUUUUACAAGUUAAGCCUCUAUAGCCUAAGCAAAAGAAUCUUUUCUCUAAAAAUUUUGUUGGGGCGACAAGAGAAGACCUAAAUCUUCUCUAUUUCACAAGAGCAUACCUCUAUUAAUGAUCCGUAUUAACGAUUAACAGAAACAGCUACCAUAGGGAUAACAGGCUAAUCUUCUUUGAGAGCCCAAAUUGACAAGAAGGAUUGGCACCUCGAUGUUGGCUUAGGAUACCUGUUAGAUGCAGAAGUCUCUCAAGUGGGUUUGUUCAACCUUUAAUAUCCUACGUGAUCUGAGUUC
rnacentral:rRNA from 1 species